UUCUAGAUUCUUCUCAUAUUUCUGCUUCAUACUUUUCUCGCCAUCAACCACACAUAAUCGAAACUCCACUUGGCUUCCACCGUUUCUUUUCCCCAAACAUAUUACUCCACCAUAUCUUAUCUAAACCGAUUUGUGUCCCCUCUAACGUCUCAUCCCUGCUACUCCAAACCACCAUCGAUUUAUCCACUUUAUUUCGACAGCGAAGCAGCAAGAACCAAGAAUGCAUUUCAGCGCUGCUGGUGUUGGUGGUGCGGCGACAUGGGUUGCUGGUGGCGGUGACUGGAGGCAUUGUGGUCAUCAGUUGUUGCAAAUCGAUUUCUUCGUGGCAGUUAUAUUCCAUCGCUACGAGUUCUGAUCAAUUUAGUCCAGGUAACGUCGCUCACCACCUUGGUCCAACCCACCGUCGCUCUCCACCACCGAUUGUCCCUACAGACACUUGAAAUGCUAGAGAAGAAAGAAAAAGUGCUUCUAAAAAAAGUUGGUGUAAAGGUUGAAGAGAGAAAGGAGUUCACUAGAGCGAAAAACAAAAGGGCACAUGUAGCAUGGAUGCUUUUUGUUCUUCUCUAAUCACAUGAUGAUGGUCUUUAAGGAUUUUAUUAUUGUUCUUACUCUGAUGCUGGUGUUGAGGUUUUUAUUAGUGCUAAAAAAAGUAAGUAAUAAUAAUUUCCUUUAAUUUAUUUGUUUGAUAUAAUAUAUUUCUUUCGUUUUUCUGUUAGAUCAUUAUAUUUUGUUUUGGAUAAUCUUUCGACCUUUUUCAGGUUCAGUGGAUGCCCUUGGUUUUGGAAGUUACAUAAACCAGAAAAUGCUGACUUGACCACCAUAAAAAUCAAAGAACACAAGGAGGAAAAGAUAGCAUUACAAUAUUAGUAAAAGUCACACUUUAGAAAGAUAAAUUAUGAUAAUUGAAUUUUUUUAUUUAAAAUAAAGUUUUUAUGUUCAUUUUAGCUGCAUUUAGUGAUUGAUUUCUCAUUCUUUUUACUUGAAUCAAUCUCUUUUUCUUUUUCUUUUUAUUACAGGUAUUCAUCCGUUUUCUUCAAUUUUUCAUUGAAAUUAACUACCUGUUGAAGGCAAUUAUGAUGAUCGUGUAGCUAUGUACUCAAAUUAUAGGCUUAUAAAUUGAUAUAUGGCUUCAAUGAUUAGAAGAAUGUAUAUGUACAUGUAUUAAACUUAUUUUCCAUUUGAUUUUUAUCCAGCCUUGCAGAAGAAUAUAGUUGACCUAAAAGUUUGACUUCAGAAGUUAGCAAAUCCCAAGUAAGUUUAUUCUUUCCAUUACCCGUCCAAAUUUUUUACACCUGAAAAAGAUUAAACUUGCCACAUUUUUUCUUGUCAUGUUACAUAUAACAUAACUGUUUACUUGAUAUAAAAGAUGCAUCUUGAAAGUAGUCACAUUUUUCCAACCAAACAGGUGAAACCCUAUGGAAUCACUUGUGACUACUUUGAAGAUGAAUCUUUCUGUAAUUUUUUUCCUUUUUCCUUAUUUUUGUUGUUUAUCCAGAGCACCUACCGAUCUCCCCUUUGCGAAUGAAAGAGAGGUCGGCUGAACGAUACUUAUCCUGAUAAUAUACUUGCAGCAGUUUUGAAGCUACAUUCUUUCAACUUGUGUUUUAUUGUUCAUUUGAAAAAAUUUGUACAGCUUUUACAUUGUUAUUAAACUCUCCGAAAAAACAACUUUUGGCCUUUGUUCUUUUACAAAAGAAAAUCGUGAUUUUAACAUUUUUUUGUCGAAAAUGCCCAUGCAUACUGUUCACUAUCUAUGACUACACCACAUACGUA